UAUUAUCGAAGAGUUUGAUCAUGGCUCAGAUUGAACGCUGGCGGCAGGCCUAAUACAUGCAAGUCGAACGGUAACAUAGGAAAAGCUUGCUUUUUCUGAUGACGAGUGGCGGACGGGUGAGUAAAAUUUGGGAAGCUACCUGAUAGAGGGGGACAACAGUUGGAAACGACUGCUAAUACC
rnacentral:rRNA from 1 species